GGUUAGUGUGGUGUAGUGGUUUGAACGUUGGACUAUGACUCUGGAGAACAGGGUUUGAAUCUCAGCUCAACCA